UACGUAGGGUGCGAGCGUUGUCCGGAAUUAUUGGGCGUAAAGGGCUCGUAGGCGGUUUGUCGCGUCGGGAGUGAAAACGCCGUGCUUAACACGGCGCUUGCUUUCGAUACGGGCAGACUAGAGUGAUGUAGGGGAGACUGGAAUUCCUGGUGUAGCGGUGAAAUGCGUAGAUAUCGGAAGGAACAUCAGUGGCGAAAGCGGCUUCCUGGACCAGCACCGACGUCAGGCACGAAAGCGUGGGGAGCAAACAGGG
rnacentral:rRNA from 1 species